UCUCCUUUUCAGCUCCUGCUGAAACCGAAGUUUUUAGGUUUUGAUUUGGUUUUUCAGAGUUUAAGAAAAACUUGACACUAUGGUUAUUGAUGGGGGACAAAAUGAAUUGUCCAGCCCACAACAAAAGGGCCAUCCAAUUUCGGCCCAAUAGCCACCAACACCGAUCAGACGUGUCCUCGGUCAGGCCCAGAAUCAGCCUGACCUCGGACUCCGCCGAAAACUCCUUCAACCUCGAAUAUUCGCCGACUCGCCCGACCAAGUUCGAAGCGCCUCCUGUAUUCGCCGACUCGCCCGAUCAAGUUCGGGGCGCCUCAUGUAUUCACGGACUCGUCCCGACCGAGCUCGGGGCCCCUCUCCAGUAAUACGCCCCGACCCUCGAGCUCAGGGCGCUCCACCGAGCACACCUCAGAAUCCGCGAUUCUAGACUGGCCUUAGCACCUGUCUAGCCGACCUCUCCAAAUACCUGAUGCGACCUCUCCAUGAGCUCGGCCUCGCCAAUGGCCGCAUCCAUGUGCGUGCCUACACCCUCUUACGUGGCCGUACAUUACGACACCACCACGCCAUGCUUUGCUUACCGGCCCACGAUAGCCAAUGACAACGCCAUGCUACUCCAGCCAUACCCUGCUAUGGCUGUCAAUGCUUUACCAUUCCCAAGAACGGAUUCCACCAUGCGCCAUAAGCAAGCUCUGAGUGCGUGCACUCCCACUCAUGAUGGGAACCGGCCAUACCCUGCUACGGCUGUCAACGCCUUACCGUUCCUAAGAACGGACUCCACCGCGCACCACAAGCAAGCUCUGGCUGCGCGCCACUCCCACUCAUAAUAGGAACAGGCCAUACCUCCGCCACCUAAACGCUCCUACUGGGACUAUAAAGAACCCCAACAGGUAACGCCUAAGAGACUUUUGGGCUGGACCAACUAGCCCCCACUCUAACUUGAUCGUCGGAGGGCCCUCAUCGGAUCACCAGUAAGACUUUGUGU
rnacentral:lncRNA from 1 species